rnacentral:lncRNA from 1 species
GGAUGUAUAAACAGCCUGCAACUCACUCUUGUAACAAGCAGCCAAUCCCAGCAGCCGUACUUCAACCACUCACAGGCGGCCGACUGCUUGAACAGUGUUCAAAUAAGGCAGACUCCAGGCAGUAACCAAUUCAGCUGUUGCUGUACCUCACUUCCUCAGGGUGGAGACUCCGCACUGGGGAAGUCUGCAGGGGUGAUUUCAGCAGGGCAGUAUGAAGAUGCAGGGUGCACGGAGAGCACAGCAGACAGCUGAGGUGGAAUGGAGCCAAGAAGUGAUCUGGAAACAACCAUGACUGGGGGAUGACACUGACUCUGAGGUGUCCUGCUGCAGGUGGGGGUGGGAGAAAGAGCGGCCUUCCACUGAGGGAGCCGAGGGAAGUGGGGUCUCAGAGGGAUCUAGGAUCACCUUUUGGUCGGGAGGUGUGGGAAACACUCAGAAAACAGCAACCAGUUUGGUGGGUUUGAUUUUCUAAAAUCGUGUAGACGCCUACAAUUGUGUAACUGAUCAUGUGUCCCUUUAGGUGCUGGGGCUGGAGACAGCUUUGCAGCUAAAUUUGGGGCCCACCUCUGCGAAGUACAUAGACCUUUAUGGGUUUCCUGCGUUCAUUUUCCUCCUGCCCUUUUCUACCAUUAUUUUCCAUUUGCCUGGAAUUCAUUACUUAUUUUCAAAAUUUAUUUUAUCUGGGAUUAUAUGUAUCUUCCUAAGUUGCCCGAAACAUGUGUUUGGUACAGGGUAGAUUAUAAAUACAUUCACAUAAAAGAAUUCUUUACAUUACAAAAUGAUUCAUUAUAACCUUCUCUCCAAUGACUAAUUUCUCCAGUGCAUUGAAGAUAUUAUUCUGUUUAUAUGCCACUUUCCCAAAACACAUUUAUUAUAUAAGAGAAAUGUAUUUUUUAUUUGAUCUUAUUUUUGUUAUGUAAGUAACAGAAAAUUUUAAGGUAAGGAAAAAGAAAUAAAAUUUUAUAUAACCUCCUUAUGUUAAAUUGAACCUGGUUUUUAGCACAGUUGCAUGUAGAGCCGUCUGAUAAAUGAUAGAAAAAUUUAGUAGAUUUGGGGAGUUUGGUUUUGAUGUUGAUUGAGGACUGAGUAAAGAUUCAAUGCCUGACAACGUGUGGCUUGUAGAUUAAUAGCUCUGAUUGUUGCAUGUAUCAGAUAAAAUGAUCAGGAAAUCUGAGCAUCUCUUCUGGUGGUUAAGAGCCAAAACUGUUUAUAGAUGUUUAUUUGAAAAAAAAUUCAAAGGCUUUCACUCUCAUUUUGUUCUCUACAGGGUGUUAUUUUACUUGUUGCAAUGCAUCUCCAUACAUCUCUCUUAAAAUACUAUUUUUUUUUUAAACUCUAAGUUCUGGGAUACAUGUGCAGAAUGUGCAGGUUUGUUGCAUAGGUCUACAUGUGCCAUGUGCCAUGGUGGUUUGCAUAAGAACAUGUAGUGUUUGGUUUUCUGUUCCUGGGUUAGUUUGCUGAGAAUGAUGGCUUCCAGCUUCAUCCAUGUCCCUGCAAAAGACAUGAACUCAUUCUUUUUUAUGGCUGCAUAGUAUUCCAUGGUGUAUAUGUGCCACAUUUUCUUUAUCCAAUCUAUCAUUGAUGGGCAUUUGGGUUGGUUCCAAGUUUAAAAGACUAAUUUCUUAAGGAUAGAGAGUCUCUCUGUUAUGUCCCACAAUGCCAAGUACAGAAGACUCUUCAGCUGGUGAAUUUGGUUCUCUAGAUCGAUAUCUUAACACAUGACACUGGCAUGUUGGAGCCAGCGUGCUUACAGAAAUUUACUAGGAAACUACCUGGAAUGUGGAAUUUACUCUCUGAUUCCGUAGACCCAUCUGCCUUCAAAUGUUUGUCAGUUGCCUCUUUGGGUUCUCUGCUGCCUUUUUAGUUCAUCAAUUUGUUUAGUACUUUCGGAAUUGAUGUUGUCUGGCUGGUCAAGAUGUGAAGUUUUUAAAAUUUCUUUCUCCCCCUCCUUCAUAAUUUCCACUGGGAAAUUUUGUAAUUUUCAGGACUUGAGGGGCUUGCGUUUUGCUUUGCUUUAGCAACAAAUGUAAUCACCAAAUCCCCAAAGCAGAAACAUGAGGAACUGAGCAAAAAUUCUGAGCAGUCUCUAAGUUAAGGGUAUGAUGAUCAGGUGACUAAUGAAGAACAUGAGUUCUGAAACCCUGUCUUGUUGUUCAAAAAUAGGUAUGGAAAUGUGGUGGAUGUUCUUUCUAAGAGAAAAACCUACAUCAUUAAGAAAGCCAGACUGGCAGGGCGUGGUGGCUCAUGCCUGUAAUCCCAGCACUUUGGGAGGCCGAGGCAGGCACAUCACGAGAUCAGGAGAUGGAGACCAUCCUGGCUAACACGGUGAAACCCCGUCUCUAUUAAAAGAUACAAAA